GUCUAACGUGGCCGCUUCCAACGCCAAGCUCGCCCUGUUUUACGACUGGCUGUUCUUCAACCCCGAUAAGGACAGCAUCAUGAAUAUCGAGCCCGCCAUCUUUGUCAUGUACCAUUCGAUGAAACCACAUCCGGCGAUCACAGCUACUCUGCUGGACUUCAUGUGUCGGAUCAUCCCGAAUUUUUAUCCCGCUCUGGAGGCUCACGUCCGUCAAGGUGUCUUCAACUCCCUCACCCACAUCGUCGAGAAGCGAGUCUUGGC